rnacentral:rRNA from 1 species
AGAGCGAACGCUGGCGGCAUGCUUAACACAUGCAAGUCGCACGGUCAGGUUUCGGCCUGGUAGUGGCGGACGGGUGAGUAACGCGUAGGUAUCUAUCCGAAGGUGGGGGAUAACGGCGGGAAACUGCUGCUAAUACCGCAUAUGACCUGAGGGUCAAAGGUCGCAAGACCGCCUGUGGAGGAGCCUGCGUACGAUUAGCUUGUUGGUGGGGUAAAGCCUACCAAGGCUACGAUCGUUAGCUGGUCUGAGAGGAUGAUCAGCCACAUUGGGACUGAGACACGGCCCAAACUCCUACGGGAGGCAGCAGUGGGGAAUAUUGGACAAUGGGCGCAAGCCUGAUCCAGCAAUGCCGCGUGUGUGAAGAAGGUCUUCGGAUUGUAAAGCACUUUCGACGGGGACGAUGAUGACGGUACCCGUAGAAGAAGCCCCGGCUAACUUCGUGCCAGCAGCCGC